rnacentral:rRNA from 1 species
AUGGCUGCCUCACAUGGUCUUCUCGUUCAUCAAAUGGACGUUAAGACGGCUUCCCUCAAUGGAGAAUUGAAGGAGGAAAUUUACAUGGAUCAGCCAGAUGGUUUUGUAGUACCUGGUCAGGAAGGAAAGGUGUGCAAGUUAUUAAAGUCUUUAUAUGGCCUUAAACAAGCUCCUAAGGAGUGGCAUGAGAAGUUCGAAAGAACAUUAACUGCUGUCGGCUUUGUAGUAAACGAUGGUGACAAGUGUGUGUACUAUCGCUAUGGUGGGGGCGAAGGAGUUAUUCUUUGUCUGUAUGUCGACGACAUAUUGAUCUUUGGAACCAAACUUGAUUUAAUCAAGGAGGUUAAGGAUUUCUUAUCUCGCUGUUUUGAGAUGAAGGAUCUAGGAGUAGCUGAUGUUAUCUUAAACAUCAAGCUGUUGAGAGAUGAGAAUGGUGGGAUCACACUGCUUCAGUCUCACUAUGUGGAAAAGGUCUUGAGUCGUUUUGGGUAUAGCGACUGCACACCUUCUCCAACUCCAUAUGAUGCUAGUGUUGCCACGAGGCCUGACAUCUCUUUUGCUGUGAGCAAGCUGAGUCGGUUUGUGUCAAAACCGAGAGAUGAUCAUUGGCAUGCGCUUGAGAGAGUUAUGCGCUAUUUGAAAGGCACCGCGAGCUAUGAGAUUCACUACACCGGGUAUCCAAGGGUACUGGAGGGUUAUAGUGACUCAAACUGGAUUUCUGAUGCUGAUGAGAUAAAGGCCACAAGUGGUUAUGUCUUUACACUUGAUGGUGACACUGCCACUGUUGAAGCAGAGUGGCUUCGUGAACUCUUGAUGGACUUGCCUAUGGUUGAAAAACCAAUACCCCCUAUCCUGAUGAACUGUGAUAAUCAAACUGUGAUCGUCAAGAUAAACAGUUCGAAGGACAAUAUGAAGUCCUCAAGACAUGUGAAGAGGAGACUAAAAUCUGUCAGAAAAUUGAGGAACUCCGGAGUUAUUACGUUGGAUUAUAUCCAAACGUCGAAAAACUUGGCAGAUCCCUUCACAAAGGGUCUAUCACGUAAUGUGAUAGAUAAUGCAUCGAUGGAGAUGGGUUUGAGACCCACC